rnacentral:rRNA from 1 species
UACGUAGGGGGCGAGCGUUGUCCGGAAUUACUGGGCGUAAAGGGUGCGUAGGCGGCCUGAUAAGUCAGGUGUGAAAUACCAGGGCUCAACUCUGGGGGUGCACUUGAAACUGUCGGGCUUGAGUGCAGGAGAGGAAAGCGGAAUUCCUAGUGUAGCGGUGAAAUGCGUAGAUAUUAGGAGGAACACCAGUGGCGAAGGCGGCUUUCUGGACUGUAACUGACGCUGAGGCACGAAAGCGUGGGUAGCGAACAGG